CCUACGGGAGGCUGCAGUGAGGAAUAUUGGUCAAUGGACGCAAGUCUGAACCAGCCAUGCCGCGUGCAGGAAGACGGCCCUAUGAGUUGUAAACUGCUUUUGUACGAGGGUAAACUCCGAUACGCGUACUUCUCUGCAAGUAUCGUACGAAUAAGGAUCGGCUAACUCCGUGCCAGCAGCCGCGGUAAUACGGAGGAUUCAAGCGUUAUCCGGAUUUAUUGGGUUUAAAGGGUGCGUAGGCGGUCGGUUAAGUUAGAUGUGAAAGCCUGAGGCUCAACCUUGGAAUUGCCUUUGAUACUGGUAGGCUAGAGAGUAGUUGCGGUAGGCGGAAUGUGUGGUGUAGCGGUGAAAUGCUUAGAGAUCAUACAGAACACCGAUUGCGAAGGCAGCUUACCAAGCUACGUCUGACGUUGAGGCACGAAAGCGUGGGGAGCAAACAGGAUUAGAUACCCCUGUAGUC
rnacentral:rRNA from 1 species